AUAUUGAAAGCCACUGGCUUGGCUGCAGGAACUGAAGUCAGCAUAAGCUGAAGCCAGGCUUGAAGUGUCCAUCCCAGCCAUACAGGACUCGUAGGCAGAGGAAUUGAGGAACAACAUUCUGGCACGCUGCGGAGUGUAAGUAAAUAGGCGAAGAUUUACGGCCUGAUCCAGAGGCCACUGAGGACAAUGGAAAACCUUCCUUUGGACCUCGAAAGGCCUUCCGUGCAGAGACCCUCAGGGACGCAUCACACCUCGUGGAGGGAAGAGAGACCCUGCUCUCCAGGCACAUUUUAUGGCGCUAAAGACACAUGCAGCGUGGAGAGUGACGGGCCCUUGUCUGGUAUGUGAUCAUACCACUCAGCCUAGGAGCCGGGACUUCAGGGCUCUGCAGCGGUGGGCGCAUGAGCGCGCGGCCGUGACUGUGACCAGUCCGGGGCUUUCAGGGCUACCUACGGAGAGCCUCGCUGGCAAUGCCUCGCCCUCGGCUCUUGCCCCUACCCACACCAGUCAGUGCGGCUCUGCGCGCCGUGCCAGCCCGCUUGCUCCAGCGCUGUAGAAGGCGCUUCCCUUCCAUGUUGUCCUCGGCCCAGCCCUGUCUCCCUCUACCCGGAUCCAGGCUCGCCAGCUUGGUGCUCGAGUCCUGUCUGGCUUCAGUCUGCUCGGCAGGGCCCGUUCCCAGCUCAGCGCCUGGUUCUUGCCAGCCCGGGGGUUCUCAGCGGUGCCUAGCUCACUCCACACACCCCUGUCUCCCCGUCCGUCGGGCCAGCUGGGCCCGUUCCCCCAUUCCCACCUCUGCCCCCGAUCGUGCCAGCCGUGGCCUGUCCCUCUCCUCCUUCAAUCCCCCCGCCAGCCCCUUUGCCCUGCAAAGCCAAACGGUGCUGCCUCUGAGGGGAGUGAGCUCCUCAUGCCCAGUCAUUACACGGGAGGAUCUUCCAGCCGAUCUACGGUCCGCUGAGCUAAUGCACUUGACUCUAUUAUCUCCUUUCUGCGGCUUUAUUUAUGGGAGGAGGGUUUUGUGUGUGUGUUUUUUUUCCAGUGUAAAAUCUUUUGUGGAUGUUUUGAUUCGCCUCUGCAGAUGAAAGUCACGCUGGGCUUCUCCGAGGCGCACAGGCUCCGGCCCCUGGGUUUUGUUUCCAGUUGUUCUUUCUACACGCGAGCUGCUCUCCCUAAAAGUUGUAGCAAAUGGUUAAUUUGAUUAUUGCAACUAUAGGCCAACUGCUUCAGCAGCCUUCCCCCACGCGUCUGGUGAGGGGAGAGCGAAACCAUCCGUAAGAAAUAAUCGAAUCAAAAUGAAGUGUGGAAAAACCCCUUCUGAUUUCCAAGCGGCACAAAUAGAAUUAGAGCCCCUAGUAGCCUUUUUCCAAAAGAGACCUUUUGUCUAGAUCACAAAUUCAAAUCCAGCCAACCAGAGCUGGGGACAGUUCCCUGCCUGGCUGUUUACUCAUACAGGCUCGAGAAACAGAGAGCUGUGUGCAGCUUUCUCCCCAGAUUACUGACUCAGUAAGGACAGAAGUAAUGCUAGAAGCAAAAACAGCUCAAAACAAAGGAAAGUCAGGGACUGUGCGAAGCGGGGGAAUGUUUACAUGUUAUCAAGUACCGGAAUGAAACAAGGCUGAAAGUUUCUUUAAAACUUUUCUUUCCUAUUCUUCGCUAUUCAGAGAGGAGAAUCUUUUCCUCCACCCUGAAAGUCAGAAAGAAUGUUAGAGGACAGCGAAACAAAACAGCAAACAAAAUGCCAUUGUAUUGGAGUAGCAAUUCAUGGGAAAACGCUUGUCAGGCCCAUAAUGUCUCACUUCUAUGAAUCUGUUUUACCGCAGGCUAAACACAGUAACAUGGGGAUGAAUAAAAUAUUAAUACCAGUGAGAAUUUCUUUUUGAUUGCUUUAUUUGGGGGAAGCCUUCAAAUUAUUCCGCAGUGGAUGUCACGUCGGAGUCGAUUUUUCACUAUGCAGUCGUCGAUUUGGUUAAAAGAGGAAAAUGGGGCUUUUCUUUUAGCCAUUAGGAUCAUUACUGCAGGUCACUAUCCUCUGACCUGUAUCAUGCCGCCGGAUCAGAUGAAUCUGUUAGUUAUCAGACUAGCUCCCCAGAAUAUACAGCAAGAAACAGCAACAAAAAUAGUGGUCAAUAACAUUUUUCUCAAUGCGAGUGAAUUUUAUGUUGGUUUUCCCCUCCCCAGAUCUCACCAUAUUGUAACGUUUAACUUACAUUUAACUAUUCCGACGUGCUUUUAUGGGUAUAUGCUACAGUGGUGUAUCUAUCUAUCUAUCUAUCUAUCUAAAUACCCAUAAUAUUUGAGUUCCUCCAAAGCACCUAAAAUAGAAGACAAAUAAACACUUCUUUCUCAGCCUGUAGACAACAUGGCUUGAUUAGUCUGAA